UCGUGCUUCCAUGUUGGAUCGUGAACGCCGCAUAGGCUCGCCCUGCCGAUGACGGGCUCAGGUGACGGGCUCCGGUGAGCUCCUCCCCGGCCCCUCCUCUGCCUCACCUCUCCUCCUGUUUAUUCGCGUGCUUGUAGCGCUUGCCCGCCCAUUGGGGCACAGAUACGGCGCCUUCAGCCUCGGGAGUCCGGCGGAGCUGCGGGCGCAUAUGAACGCGUUGUGAAGCGCAGGGCAUCGGCUUGGGUCUCGCCGGUUUAACGGCGUUUUCGUUCCAGGGAAACCCUUUGAUAAGCGGGCUCCCGUGUACCUGCUGUUUCCUUAUGUCCCGAAUAUCUAGCGCCCAUGACUAUAACCUGCGGAGUAUGAGCAACUUAAUGGGGGAGCGGAGGAAGAAAGCGAGCGACGACGGGGAGCGGGGGCUCAUCAAGGCUGCGUCCAACGCCAGUAUCCAGAGCCAGGGUGCCGCGCCCGGGGACCCGGAGAGAGCCGCUCGCAAGCAGCUCCAGCAGGAUGUCACGCCCGCCUUCGUUUACGUGCUGGCCGUCUUCUCGGCACUCGGCGGCUUUCUCUUCGGCUACGACACCGGAGUGGUGUCGGGGGCCAUGCUGCUGCUGAAGCGGGACAUGCAGCUGAGCACCCUGUGGCAGGAGCUGCUGGUCUCAAGCACGGUGGGCGCCGCGGCGCUGUCCGCCCUGGCUGGCGGCUUCCUCAACGGGGUGGCCGGCCGCCGGCUUUGCAUCCUGGGUGCCAGCUUCAUCUUCUCGGCCGGCGGGGUGGUGCUGGCCGCCGCCCGGAGUAAGGAAGUGCUGCUCCUCGGACGGCUUAUAGUCGGCCUGGGCUUGGGCAUCGCCUCCAUGACCGUACCGGUGUACAUCGCCGAAUCAUCACCUCCGCACCUGAGGGGCCAGCUGGUCACUAUCAACACGCUCUUCGUCACAGGCGGCCAGUUCAUCGCUAGCAUCGUGGAUGGGGCCUUCAGCUAUCUUCAGCAGGACGGCUGGAGGUACAUGCUGGGCCUGUCGGUGGUUCCCGCCCUGCUGCAGUUCAUCGGGUUCCUCUUCCUGCCGGAGAGCCCGCGCUGGCUCAUCCAGAAAGGCCUGACCCAGAAGGCCCGGCGCGUGCUCAGCCAGAUCCGUGGGAACCAGAACAUCGACGAGGAGUUUGACAGCAUCAAGAGCAGCAUCGAGGAGGAGGAGAAGGGCUCCGCGGCAGGUGGCCUAGUGAUCUGCCGCAUUCUGACCUACCCCCCCACACGGCGGGCGCUCAUCGUGGGCUGCGGACUGCAGAUGUUCCAACAGCUGUCUGGCAUCAACACAGUCAUGUACUACAGCGCCACCAUCCUGCAGAUGUCAGGAGUGCGAGAUGACAGGCUGGCCAUCUGGCUGGCUGCGGUCACGGCCUUCACCAACUUCCUGUUCACGCUGCUGGGGGUGUGGCUGGUGGAGAGGGUGGGCCGUCGGCGGCUGACCCUGGGCAGCAUCGUUGGAACCUGUCUGAGCCUGAUCCUUCUGGCCGCCGGAUUUCUCCUCUCCGCCCAGAACUCGCCCCCCAUCACCCUUCACCCCACAGACCCCUCCCUGCAAAACUCCACCUGCAUACAGUAUGGGCUGUGCGAGCCCUGCAUGCUGGACCCACGCUGUGGCUUCUGUUACCAGGAGAACGGCACCACCAUCUCCACCACCUCCUGCGUGCCCAUCAGCGCGUCCUCCACUGAGGAAGCAGCGUGGGGCAGGUGUAGCAACAUGACCCAGAAAGACGGCAUCUACUGGGCCUAUAACUACUGUCCCACCGCAUACUCAUGGAUGGUCCUCCUAGGCCUCAUCUCCUACCUGGCCGCCUUCGCCCCAGGAAUGGGUCCUAUGCCUUGGACGGUGAACUCUGAGAUCUAUCCCCUGUGGGCCCGGAGUACCGGAAAUGCCUGCUCUGCCGGUGUCAACUGGACCUUCAACGUCCUGGUCUCUCUGACUUUCCUCCACGUUGCUCAGUACCUCACCUACUACGGUGCAUUUUUCCUAUACGCCGGCCUUACUCUGCUGGGCUUCCUCUUCAUCUACGGCUGCCUGCCCGAGACCAAGGGCCACCGGCUGGAGGAGAUCGAGCUGCUCUUCGAGAAUCGGCUGUGCACAUGCGGCGCGUCCGAUUCGGACGAGGGACGGCAGAUCGAAUACAUCAGGGUAAAAGGAAGCAACUACCACCUGUCAGAUAACGACGCCUCUGACGUGGAGUAGUCCGGUCAUCACCUCCGCUCUGUCCUUCUUUCCAACCCGAGGCUUUCUUGGUAUGACACGUGACGGGUUUGGGGUCUAUCUUAAGCCUGCUUCUAGUCUGCCUUACAGUCGGUGUCCCAUGAUUCAUAUUCCAUAGGGCUGGCUGGGUUCCAGCAUCUGCCAAAAUGUGCUUAUCGUCCAGUACAAAUCAGUGGAGCGGCUCAGCUGGGAUAGAUGGCUAAACAGAACACGACUCCUGACACAGAAAUUCAGGACCCAAACAAAUAUCAGAACACAGGGAUUGAGGCCUUUCUGCCAAAUGAAAUGAAAUCAUUACCAAUAGCAGCUCAUAACACAAAGUGUUUUGUGUCGGUGUGUAUCUAGUCCUCCUUUGGAGCAGAACACUGGAGUAUUUCUGUAUUAACUCCCUAUACUGUAUAUUUAUCAGUAUUUUACAUUGGCUCCUAAUGAGUUUGUGGACCACAGAACAUGCCGUUGAUUCCUGGGAGCCGCUCUCUGCCAGUCAGACUCUCUCAUCACUUGGGAACAGUGUGUGAUCUCAUGGCUGAUCUCUGGUUGAUGGUGCUAUGGAGUAGUUUGCCAUAGUUCGACUUGGUGGCUCUGGGUCUCCUGUUCAUUGUAUAUCUGGGUAACUAUGACCAAGCAUAAACACACAGUGAGGAGGAGGAAACACUAGGGGAUCGUGGAUUUAAGGAGUGUUGAAUUUUCUAGUCUCGUUUGGAGCUGGCCUACUUACACCACAGAGUCCAGGAGGCAGACAGCGGAAUCGCAUAUAUACACCUGCAAUAGUCGUUACGUUUUUCAGAAAGCCUGAAGAUGUGUGUUCGGGAGGAUGCAGAAGAUAUUUUUGUAUGCAGCACACAGAACACACUUUACUUCUGAUUCAAUGUUUACAAAUUAUCUAUCAGUCGCUUCACGUGCAUUCGUACACUCACACUGUUUUUGGCAGGAAGUACUUUGCCCGUUUUAAUUUUCUGUCUUCCUCUGUGGCCAUGUGUACAAACCAAAUCGUAUAUUUAUUCUUUAAAUGGCAUAGUUUAAUAUUUGUGUGUUAAAUGUUUAGAGUCCUGUAUUGAUACAUUUAACAUAUAUUACAGUUAGGAGAUUCAGUCCUAGGUGAUGUUUACUGUUCCCCUUAAACACUAUUGUCAGGUAUUCAUGGUUCAGUGCCUAUCUCACUAUAUUGUUGAGUUAGAUUAAAUGAUGUGCUUUAUCUGUGACUGGAGAUUAGCUUUUGCCAAAUAAAUCGUGGAAAAUGUAUUCACCUGCUCAAGACAAUGUGCUGUUUUUUGGCCUAUAACAUGUGGGCCUUGGGUUCUGGGGUUUAUACUCACUGUCACAGUAAUUACUGCUAAAAGCAGGGAAAUACAAGACUUCUAGCAAAAUGAACUUAAACGUGAUGUAAAAGCACAGAGCUAGUAACAGCAGGACAGACUGGUGGGGGUACUGGAGUACUGGUGAUACUGGUGAUGAACUGCCACUUUCUCUUUUUCACUGGUAUCGACUUGGUGUCCCGAACCUCCUUAUGCAGACAGGGAUCAUCAGUCUUACUGAGGAAAUGAUGCCUUCAGGUUGCUUUUAUUUCUGAAUAUUUAAGAUCAUUUUUAGAGAUGUGGGACAGUGUUGUUCAAAUGACAUAGAACUAUGUAAUGAAGUAUUUCCUAUGUUUGUUCAUGGUGGAUAGCUGCACUUUUCAUAUGUAAAACAAAUGUCUGAAUAAUGUGUUUGUACAGUUUAUGAAUUAGAGGAAAAGAGAUGACACAUCAGUGCUGUAAAUUGAUUCGUUGCUGUAUGUUUUAUUAGAUUUUAACUUUGUAUACAAUUGCAUACGUUCAUGAAAUGAUAUCACUUGAAAUUGUACAUGAGAAAGUAAACAUUAAUUCUUUCGCUGUAUCUGUUCCUGCUUUAAUAAAAAAGUGAACUUGCA